GUGAAAUGAAACAUUAGCUGUGCAAAUUUUCUCUGCUCUGUGAAGCCUGUGAAGAACUGAGAACAAUAGGAAUGAGCUUUUCCCAGGUGUAGGUUGUUUAACUAGAGCGUGCACAUUAUUCCAUGAAACAAAGGACCUCAGUGCACAAGAUGAGUUUCUGCCUGAAACCAGAGGUAUGGUGCAAAUCCUCGGUUGCUGUGAACUGCUUUAGCCCAGCUGGAAAAGAAGCCACAGACACAAGAGUGCCCUUAAGACCUUCUAUCCACCCUGUCAAUCAAAUGAAUCGCCACAAUCCUGGGUAUGCAUGCAAACAUCAUCAGUGAAACAAAUAGAUGUGCUUCAGCACCACGAGGAGGAACCAGGAUCCUGCCAUUCCACAGUCCUGGCAAUACAGAUUCUCAUAUGGAUUCUGCCACCAUGGCAGCUGGGUUGCCAUAGGUCUCCAAGCACUGUGUUCGAGGCCUGGGAUGGGGAAAGGGCUACAGACCGUGGAAUCACCGCUGAUGGAAAGAACUCUCCAGAUCAUCAACUUCAGCCACCAACAUGAUCUGCCACGUACCUCUUACUACACAAUUAGAGCAG
ensembl:lncRNA